rnacentral:lncRNA from 1 species
UCCACACGGGCAUGUGUCUAGGCCGUGUGUGACACACGACUUGCCCCUUAGGCUUGUGUUCUGGCCGUGUGUCCCCCUGCACCUUAAUUCUUGCAAAAUAAAAUGCUCAGAAUUGAGUACACGAGCAGAGACACGGGCGUGUGUCUCAGCUGUGUGGAUGACACGGCCUCAGGCACUGGCGUGUGCCCUGGGUAUGUGAAGUUUGCACCUAUUUUAUGAAAAAUUAUGAAAAUUAAAUCGACCACAACGCCUAAGCGCAC